CUCCCGNGCACACGUGCGUAACCUGCCUGUAAGACUGGGAUAACUCCGGGAAACCGGAGCUAAUACCGGAUAGUUCCUUGAACCGCAUGGUUCAAGGAUGAAAGACGGUUUCGGCUGUCACUUACAGAUGGACCCGCGGCGCAUUAGCUAGUUGGUGAGGUAACGGCUCACCAAGGCGACGAUGCGUAGCCGACCUGAGAGGGUGAUCGGCCACACUGGGACUGAGACACGGCCCAGACUCCUACGGGAGGCAGCAGUAGGGAAUCUUCCGCAAUGGACGAAAGUCUGACGGAGCAACGCCGCGUGAGUGAUGAAGGUUUUCGGAUCGUAAAGCUCUGUUGUUAGGGAAGAACAAGUGCAAGAGUAACUGCUUGCACCUUGACGGUACCUAACCAGAAAGCCACGGCUAACUACGUGCCAGCAGCCGCGGUAAUACGUAGGUGGCAAGCGUUGUCCGGAAUUAUUGGGCGUAAAGGGCUCGCAGGCGGUUUCUUAAGUCUGAUGUGAAAGCCCCCGGCUCAACCGGGGAGGGUCAUUGGAAACUGGGAAACUUGAGUGCAGAAGAGGAGAGUGGAAUUCCACGUGUAGCGGUGAAAUGCGUAGAGAUGUGGAGGAACACCAGUGGCGAAGGCGACUCUCUGGUCUGUAACUGACGCUGAGGAGCGAAAGCGUGGGGAGCGAACAGGAUUAGAUACCCUGGUAGUCCACGCCGUAAACGAUGAGUGCUAAGUGUUAGGGGGGUUUCCGCCCCUUAGUGCUGCAGCUAACGCAUUAAGCACUCGGCCUGGGGAGUACGGUCGCAAGACUGAAACUCAAAGGAAUUGACGGGGGCCCGCACAAGCGGUGGAGCAUGUGGUUUAAUUCGAAGCAACGCGAAGAACCUUACCAGGUCUUGACAUCCUCUGACAACCCUAGAGAUAGGGCUUUCCCUUCGGGGACAGAGUGACAGGUGGUGCAUGGUUGUCGUCAGCUCGUGUCGUGAGAUGUUGGGUUAAGUCCCGCAACGAGCGCAACCCUUGAUCUUAGUUGCCAGCAUUUAGUUGGGCACUCUAAGGUGACUGCCGGUGACAAACCGGAGGAAGGUGGGGAUGACGUCAAAUCAUCAUGCCCCUUAUGACCUGGGCUACACACGUGCUACAAUGGACAGAACAAAGGGCUGCGAGACCGCAAGGUUUAGCCAAUCCCACAAAUCUGUUCUCAGUUCGGAUCGCAGUCUGCAACUCGACUGCGUGAAGCUGGAAUCGCUAGUAAUCGCGGAUCAGCAUGUCCGUCGAGUGAAUACGUUCCCGGGCCUUGUACUACACGCGCGCCGUCUACACCAAGA
rnacentral:rRNA from 1 species